rnacentral:tRNA from 1 species
CCAGAGGUGGCGGAGUGGCCAAUCGCAACAGACUGUAAAUCUGUCGAGCUUUGCUCUACGGGGGUUCGAAUCCCUCCCUCUGGA